GCCUGGUCCCACGCCAACCUCACACCAGUUUCUCCGCCACACCCUCAGCAUGCAGGCCUCAGGAAUGCUGGGUAAUGAGGGAUGGCAAAGGGGCAUCUAGGCAUCCGAUUACAACCCAUGUUGGGAAGAAAGAAAAGAUGUGAGGCCGUGGAAGCCUGUUUACAUUUACAUCUGAGGUAUUUAGCUUCUGCUUUCAUCCAGAGGACCAGUGGAAUGAGCUUCAUGCAUUGCAAACAUUGCAAGCAACUUUGAAAGUAGAUGAAAUGUCACAGCAAGAAGGUGAUGCAAGUUAAGAAGUUUGUGAUGAAACAGGGAUUAUUGUUAACAUGUAAGGUGAUAAGCAGUCAUCGCUCACUUCUUAAACAUGUGAUCAUCUGUUAAUCCCUUAGUGUAUUGGCCUUUUAUUUUGAUUUUCUAUCAGUAGUGUGACUUUUUAAAUGCGCAAGGGAUGUAUUUGUCUAUUAACGCUAACGCUAAUAAGUCCUCCAAUCACACAUUGCUAAACAAAAUUUCCACUUUUUUUUUUUUUUUAAAGAAGACGAGGUUUCCAAACACACUCAACUAUUAACUUGGAGACCGUUUCCUCUCACUAGCUCUUUGCUUUUGUUGUAUACUUUUGGAUACAACUUUGUACUAACAUAGAGUUGAACAAUAGUUUUCUCUCUAACCCGCUGAUACCCCAACUUUCACUUUCUAAGCAUAUAUUUACACAGCUGGAGGAAUAAUGUAUCUUCUCUCUCAAUUAAUGUUACUGUCAAAGCCAACACAUCCUGUAUCCAAUCACUAGACCAAAGGUUUCAAAACCAGUUUUGCAUUGGUCAGAUUCAGGUCAGAGUGAAUGAGUUGACCCACACAUGGGCAGUUUAACCUAGUGAUCUGAAACUCAUUACUGUAAUUUACUGUAAUUUUAACACAGGCAGGUGUGGAAAACAAAGACAAUUAAAACUUUGACCUGACAAAUAACAACUGCUUUCAGUACCAGUAUUUGUUGAUAUUUGGUUACAAUUUUAAAGGAGGUAAAAUCUAUGGGAGUCAUCAGCAAUGUGCCACUCCCAUUAACAAAAGCUGCAUGAAAGCUGAAUAGUCUACAAGCUUUGCUGUGUAAUGUUCAAUUAACAGCAACCCUUUUGCUGUAUUAUAUGGAAUAUAAUUAUAAUAUAUACUAUAAUAAUAAUAAUAGUCAAAUAUUGAUAAUGCCACUAAAAUAUUUGGUCCUUGCACUGCUACCUCCUCAUUUAAUCUUCUGCAAGCAAGCAGACAGACUUAUAA
ensembl:lncRNA